GGCAACUGGAAAUAUUGGUGCUGGCUCUGAGAAAGCCCAUGACUCUGGUGGCCAAGUAGCAGAUCCUCUGCCAGCUGGUGGUCUCCAGCUCUGCCUGCGACAGGAUUGAAAUCAGAUCUUAUUGACCUGUCCCCUGGGCUGAAGAGUGACCUCUCUGUAGUGAAGUAUCAACUGGACUUGGAGGAUUUAGAAGAGGGAUGGAUUCACUUGGCAAGGCACAUGGAGAUUAUGCGCAGACACCAGAAGGUUAAGGUUGUCACGUUGUUUCACGUUGGCCGAGUGUCAAAGGAAAGAGCCUCAAAGGAAAAGAGCCACCUCAAAGGAAAGAGCCAGAUAGAAUCAGCAGAAGCAUGCCCCGGAAUGCCUAAGGAUCUUUUACGGUUUACCUUGUUCUUCUAUAACUCGACCUUCUUAUACAGCAUUUCUGUUAAUUUUGACAAGGUUAUUUAUAAGGUUUUAGCUUAAAUGUCUCUAAAUAUAGCCUCAGCACUGUAUUUUUAAUCAAUUUAUCCCAGUUAUCAAUAUACGUGGGUAGCAAACCACCCUAUACUCAAUGGUUUAACAAACAAUUAAUUUGUGCUCUCAUUGUUCCAUGGGUUGACUAGGCUCAUCUGAGGUGCCCUUAGUUGGGUUUCUUAUUGGGUCACAGAUGCUCAAGGCAUCUGAAGGCUCAACUGUGCUGGAUGCCCAGGACGGCUCCCCCACAGGCCUAGCAGUUGAUGCUAUCGGUUGAAGGUCUAAGCAAAGCUUGUCACCAAUACGUGGCCUUAACAUGGAAGCUGAGUUCGAGGAGGGAGUCCACUAAGGGUAAGUAUUUCAGAGUCCCAGGCAAAAGCUGUAAGACGUCUUAUCAUCUGGUCUUAGAAAAUAUUCAGCAUCACUUCUGCCCUAUUCUUUUGCUCAAAAAGUGAGUCACAGGGGCGGCCCAGAUUCAAGAGGAGGACAGUAUGCAAAGAUGUGAACGUUGGAGGCAUGGGUCACUGGGGGACUAGCUUUGAAAAUUAGCACACAACUUAUAUAGAUUUAGGUACACAAGGGUUUAAAGUUAAUUAAAAAAUCAUAUACACAGAGGCAAGUUUUAUCACCUUAAGACAGGGACAAGAAUGCCUUGAAAUUGUACUUCACGUUUAUUUCAAUAUCAUAUAGCACUUUUUAAUACAAUUGUUGGAGGAGAUUUAAAAAAAAUAAGGGGGGGCACCUGGGUGGCUCAGUGGGUUAAUCAUCUGCCUCUGGCUCAGGUCAGGAUCCCAGGGUUCUGGGAUUGAGCCCCACAUCGGUCUCCUUGCUCAUUGGGGAGCCUUCUUUUCCCUCUCUCUCUGCUCCCCAUGCCCCCACUCAUGCUCACUGUCUCUGAAAUAAAUAAAAUCUUAAACAAAAAAUAAAGGGCAUUGGUGUCUAGGAGGCAGUCCAAUGGUGACUUUAAGUAUGGCAACUUUAAGCGGGCAGAAGCAAUUCUCUAAAGUUAUAAAAACAUAAUGAGACACUUUCCAAAUGAUAUGGCAUCAUUGUAGAUUUUGGGCAAACCAUGAUAACCAUUUUGUUAUGAGAGCAGGGUAGCUGGUGAGCAAAAGGGCAGAGGAGAUAAUGAGAGGCAGCCUUUGUAGUUGAAAACCAGUCAUUCUUACUUGGUUUUUGUUAUUUUCAGUCAGAGACCCUUUGGAGUAUAUGACAGAAAUUUAGGAAAUUUUUGCUCAGAAAUGUAGGAAAAUGGCUGUUACCUUUGUUCCUCCCUCCUCCUUCUCUUCCUUUAUUCUUCUACAAUUAUUUACAUACAGAGAGCUGUACCAGGCACUGAUAUGGACCAAGGGAUAGAAUAGGGAAGAAGACAGGGAAGAACAAUUAUAUGUAGUGUCAUUGGAAGUGACUUUCCUAACCAACGAAGAGCUCGUGGUUCCUUUCGAAAUUUCCUAAAGUACUGCUGCUAUUGAGGAUGAAAACGUGCACAGAACUUUCCACAGCUUUAUUACCACCGUCUUCGCUCUCCUCUCUGCUGCAUCUUCCCCAGGAGCUAUCUGCUUACCCCUAUUAAAAAAAAUGGAAUGGAUCAAAUAGCCAUGGAUUCACAUUUCGAAUUCUCAAUUUACAGGACACUCGGAGGACCUACACUUUGAUCCACCUUCUCUAGAUGACAGUGAAGGAUGGAUGAUUUGGAGGUUUAUUUUUUUCUCUAUGUUUUUACGUUCUCACCUCAAAUUGUACUUCUGGCUUUAGUAAUUAUAGCAUCCUAAGGGUAGCGGGGAGAGGUUUAAACAUGCAAUCUUUGUCAACAUUUUAAGUAUUUCCAUUACCACAGCUCAUAGCUUUUGCAAAAAUGAUAUACAAACGUCCACCUA